AGAGUUUGAUCCUGGCUCAGAUUGAACGCUGGCGGCAUGCUUUACACAUGCAAGUCGAACGGCAGCAUAGAGAGCUUGCUCUCUGAUGGCGAGUGGCGAACGGGUGAGUAAUACAUCGGAACGUGUCCGUUUGUGGGGGACAACCACCCGAAAGGGUGGCUAAUACCGCAUAAGACCUGAGGGUGAAAGCCGGGGACCGCAAGGCCUGGCGCGAACGGAGCGGCCGAUGACUGAUUAGCUGGUUGGCGGGGUAAAGGCCCACCAAGGCGACGAUCAGUAGCUGGUCUGAGAGGACGACCAGCCACACUGGAACUGAGACACGGUCCAGACUCCUACGGGAGGCAGCAGUGGGGAAUUUUGGACAAUGGGGGCAACCCUGAUCCAGCCAUGCCGCGUGCGGGAAGAAGGCCUUCGGGUUGUAAACCGCUUUUGUCAGGGACGAAAAGGUGCGGGUUAAGAGCUAGCACUGAUGACGGUACCUGAAGAAUAAGCACCGGCUAACUACGUGCCAGCAGCCGCGGUAAUACGUAGGGUGCGAGCGUUAAUCGGAAUUACUGGGCGUAAAGCGUGCGCAGGCGGUUGGGUAAGACAGAUGUGAAAUCCCCGGGCUUAACCUGGGAACUGCAUUUGUGACUGUCCGACUGGAGUAUGUCAGAGGGGGGUGGAAUUCCAAGUGUAGCAGUGAAAUGCGUAGAUAUUUGGAAGAACACCGAUGGCGAAGGCAGCCCCCUGGGGCAAAACUGACGCUCAUGCACGAAAGCGUGGGGAGCAAACAGGAUUAGAUACCCUGGUAGUCCACGCCCUAAACGAUGUCUACUGGUUGUUGGAGGGUAAAACCUUCAGUAACGAAGCUAACGCGUGAAGUAGACCGCCUGGGGAGUACGGUCGCAAGAUUAAAACUCAAAGGAAUUGACGGGGACCCGCAC
rnacentral:rRNA from 1 species